AGCAACAGCUAGCUUACCACCCAAUAGUUGAACAAUAUAAAUAAAACAAAAUAAGCCCAACACCAAAAAUUAAACCAUUCUUUUACCUGAGUAUGGGAGACAGAAAAGGUUCUACCCAAAGCAAUAGAGACAGUACCGCAAGGGAAAGCUGAAAGAGAAAUGAAAUAACCCAUAUAAGCACAAAAAAGCAAAGAUUAAACCUUGUACCUUUUGCAUCAUGAUUUAGCCAGUACACCCAAGCAAAGAGACCUUUAGUUUGAAACCCCGAAACCAGGUGAGCUACCCCGAGACAGCCUAUUAAGGGCCAACCCGUCUCUGUGGCAAAAGAGUGGGAAGAGCUCCGGGUAGAAGUGACAGACCUACCGAACCUGGUGAUAGCUGGUUGCCUAAGAAAUGAAUAGAAGUUCAGCCUCGUACCCCCCCAAUCAAAAACACAAACAAGACACUAAGAGAAAUACACGAGAGUUAGUUAAAGGGGGUACAGCCCCUUUAACAAAGGACACAACCUUUCCAGGAGGAUAAAGAUCAUAAUACAUAAAACAUACUGUUCUAGUGGGCCUAAAAGCAGCCACCUAAACAGAAAGCGUUAAAGCUCAGACAGAAAGAAGUUUAUUAUUCUGAUAAAAAAUCUUACUCCCCUAAAUACUAUUAGGCCAACCCAUGCCCACAUGGAAAAGACUAUGCUAAAAUGAGUAACAAGAAGGCCCGCCCUUCUCCAAGCACAAGUGUAAGCCAAACCGGACCAACCAUUGGCAACUAACGAACUCAACCCAAGAGAGCAAUGUGGACUACAAAAAGACCAAGAAAAAACCACAACCAAACUAUCGUUAUCCCCACACUGGAGUGCUAUUUAAAGGAAAGACUAAAAGAAAAGGAAGGAACUCGGCAAACACAAGCCUCGCCUGUUUACCAAAAACAUCGCCUCCUGCAACACAACCAAGUAUAGGAGGUCCAGCCUGCCCAGUGACUACAAGUUCAACGGCCGCGGUAUUUUGACCGUGCAAAGGUAGCGCAAUCACUUGUCUUUUAAAUAGAGACCUGUAUGAAUGGCUAAACGAGGGCUUAACUGUCUCCCCUUUCAAGUCAGUGAAAUUGAUCUACCCGUGCAGAAGCGGU
rnacentral:rRNA from 1 species